rnacentral:rRNA from 1 species
UACGUAGGGUGCAAGCGUUGUCCGGAAUUAUUGGGCGUAAAGAGCUUGUAGGCGGUUUGUCGCGUCUGCUGUGAAAUUUCGGGGCUCAACCCCGAGCUUGCAGUGGAUACGGGCAGACUAGAGUGUGGUAGGGGAGACUGGAAUUCCUGGUGUAGCGGUGAAAUGCGCAGAUAUCAGGAGGAACACCGAUGGCGAAGGCAGGUCUCUGGGCCACUACUGACGCUGAGAAGCGAAAGCAUGGGGAGCGAACAGG